rnacentral:sRNA from 1 species
GCUGGGCGUGGUGGUGUGCGCCUGUAAUCCCAGCUACAUGGGAGGCUGAGACAGGAGAAUUGCUUGAACUCAGGAGGCGGAGCUUGCAGUGAGCCAAGAUCGCGCCACUGCACUCCAGCCUGGGUGACAGAGUGAGACUCUGUCUCAA